AUUGAACGCUGGCGGCAGGCCUAACACAUGCAAGUCGAGCGGAAACGAUGGGAGCUUGCUCCCAGGCGUCGAGCGGCGGACGGGUGAGUAACACGUGGGAAUCUGCCCAUUAGUGGGGGAUAACUCGGGGAAACUCGAGCUAAUACCGCAUAAUCCCUACGGGGGAAAGCAGGGGAUCUUCGGACCUUGCGCUGAUGGAUGAGCCCGCGUCGGAUUAGCUUGUUGGUGGGGUAAUGGCCCACCAAGGCGACGAUCCGUAACUGGUCUGAGAGGAUGGCCAGUCACACCGGGACUGAGACACGGCCCGGACUCCUACGGGAGGCAGCAGUGGGGAAUCUUGGACAAUGGGCGCAAGCCUGAUCCAGCCAUGCCGCGUGUGUGAAGAAGGCCUUCGGGUUGUAAAGCACUUUCAGUAGGGAGGAAGGCUUUGGGCUAAUACCCUGGAGUACUUGACGUUACCUACAGAAGAAGCACCGGCUAAUUUCGUGCCAGCAGCCGCGGUAAUACGAAAGGUGCGAGCGUUAAUCGGAAUUACUGGGCGUAAAGCGCGCGUAGGCGGUGUGUUAAGUCGGAUGUGAAAGCCCAGGGCUCAACCUUGGAAUUGCAUCCGAUACUGGCACGCUAGAGUGCAGUAGAGGGAGGUGGAAUUUCCGGUGUAGCGGUGAAAUGCGUAGAGAUCGGAAGGAACACCAGUGGCGAAGGCGGCCUCCUGGACUGACACUGACGCU
rnacentral:rRNA from 1 species